AAAAAUUCGGAUAAAUUACGAUCCUAUCGGAGUAAAUAGCAUAUGAUAUCAGGAUGAAGAAAAGCGCGACAUCCUGGUAGGAAAGUCGAAAACUCCGACAAAGAUAAGAUCAAUUUACAUACAGGAUGAAACGGUGGACAGAGUAAAAGUGGCUUUGUGGAGAAACACUAACAAAGAUGUCAGAACUGGGGAUCACGUCAAAAUCACUGAUUUGACAAUACACACUUACCAAACAAAGUACACAACUGAAACCAGCUUCAAUUCUACCUACACAACUUCAGUUACUAAAGUCGAACAACCAACUGUACAUGUGACGGUUACAGUAAUUGGUGCUUCUGUACAAGAUGACGUUACAGAACUUCUCCUCGAUGAUGACUCUGUGAGGGCAAUUCCUUCACAAUUAUUAAUGGCUGCCCUUCCACAAGAACUUGAAGAAGACUUGGAUCCAGAAUCUUUCUUUGCAGAGCAAAAAACAAACUUAAGGCUGCAAUUAAAAGGAUCGGAAGUACUUUCAGUGAAACUUCAGUAAACUGUUAUACAUAUACAUGACAUUAUUCAGCAUUCCUAGUUUUCCUUGUUUUUCCUAGUGUUUUUUUUUAUAUAAAUCUCCUACUUUUUCAUACUUUUUACAACAAGCUCCUACUUCUCCUAGUUAUGCCUCCCUUCGAAGAAGGGGGAUAUUGCUUUGCACAUGUUGGUGUGUUGGUCUGUCGGUCCGUCCACCACAUGAUUGUCUGAUGAUAACUCAAGAACGCUUAGGCCUAGGAUCAUGAAACUUCAUAGGUACAUUGAUCAUGACUGGCAGAUGACCCCUAUUGAUUUUGAGGUCAAUGGUCACAGGUGAAGGUCAUAGUGACUGGAAAUAGAAAAAUGGUUUCCGGAUGAUAACUCCAGAAUGCUUACGCCUAGGAUCAUGAAACGGAAUAGGGACAUUGGUCAUGACCAGCAGAUGACCCCUACUGAUUUUCAGGUCAAUAGGUCAAAGGUCAAGGUCACAGUGACCUGAAACAGUAAAAUGGUUGACUGGAAAUAGGAAAAUGGUUUCCGGAUGAUAACUCAAGAACGCUUACGCCUGGGAUCAUGAAACUUCACAGGGGCAUUGAUCAUGACUGGCAGAUGACUCUUAUUGAUUUUCAGGUCACUAGGUCAAAGGUCACAGUGAAAUGAGGCAGUAAAAUGGUUGACUGGAAAUAGGAAAAUGGUUUCCGGAUGAUAACUUAAGAAGGCUAACGCCUGGUAUCAUGAAACCAUCACCACCUCCACCACCACCACAGUGACAAAAAACGUAUUCACACAAUGGCUGCCACUACAACUGACAGCCCAUAUGGGGGGCAUGCAUGUUUUACGAACAGCCCUUGUUCUUUUUCAAGUAACAAGUCUUAAAAACUUUUAAUGGGCAAAAAAAUAAUUUGGUUUUGUUAAUUUGAUGUCACCUGGAUACGUAUACAUGUAUUCAUAGUGUUUUAAAUAUAGUUGUGUUUGCUAUAGGUAUAAUCGGUUUUUUUAACAUACCUGAAAUUACGAAUGUAUUGCUUGAUUUUGUCAUUUGCAAAGAUUGCCAAUAUUCAACAUGAAGAAGUAAUUAGGCAAAAUUAUUUUUUACAAUACUUGAGGCUGAACCCUACACAUUCAGUUAAUUGGGUCUAGCCACUCAUUAGUUAUCAAUAAGAAAGCAGGGAGAUUUAAUAUUUGAGUUUCAUCUACAGAUCAUGAGAUGUAGCAUUUAUAGGUACAGGAAAAGACUCGACCUUAUAUAAAUGCAAAGGAUCUUUCAGUUAUAAAUUACAAUGUUUUAAAGUUACAAACAAGCUUGAUUCAUUUCUUGCAAACAGAAAAUCAUUCAUUGAGUACAUGUCUUUCCAUUGAUUAAAUCUGGAACUCCUAACUUAAAUUCUUCUAAUUUAUCAUGUAUGCUACUGGUUUCUCUUAUUUGAUCCAUAAGAAUACUUGUAACAUAAUCAAUGACUUCGUGCAUAUUUGAGGAUGUUGAUUGCAAUCCAAAGUCAAUAAAUUUGUUUGGUAGCAAGUUAUAUUUAAUACCUGACAUACAGUUGUCCAUUCUUAUAAAUGGUUAGUUUAUUCAUGUGAUCAGCAAGAAAAUUGACAUGAUCCAUUGGUGUAGUGCCGAAAAGUCCUUUUGAAAGUUUAUCUAUGAAAGGCAAAAGUGCACUUUUACUUCUAGAUUAGAUUAUGGUUGAUUAAAGAAUGAGACUUUCAAUACUCGAAAUUGUACACUUAAUUUUUGCUCCUGUUCAUUGUCUGAGGCUGUUUAUUCGAGUCAUCAUGUGAGAUAACAUGUGGCACGAUUGAUUGUUCACUUAACAAGCUGGAAGUGCAGGCACAUCAAAUUAUUGUGUGUUCCUCUUCAAUUAAAGCAUGAUGUGUAUUUCUUAAGAGGGUGUUAUUUUCAACAUUUUUGAUUAUAGAUCGUUUAAAAAAUAUGCGUUCUUCUAGUAUUUGACUUCUAUUUGUAAUGUCUUUGCCAUCAACUACUAGUUUCUGUAUAGUUUUUUGUUCGUUUGUAAGUUGUUCAUUGUUUGCAAAGUAUUUUGUAUUGUUUUCAUUGUGUUCAACAUGCUGUGCCCGUGCACGAAGUAUUAUGCCAUCAAAUUGUAGUUUUCAACUAUGUUAUUCAAAAUGUUCCUAUUUUUGGAGUGAGUGUAAAGAUUUCCAUUAUUUUUAUCUCUAAUAAUGCGUUAAGAACAAUAUUGAAAUCACCUCCAACUAAAAUGUUUUUAUGUCCCCCACUAUAGUAGUGGGGGACAUAUUGUUUUUGCCCUGUCUGUUGGUUGGUUGGUCUGUUGGUUUGCGCCAACUUUAACAUUUGCAAUAACUUUUGCAAUAUUGAAGAUAGCAACUUGAUAUUUGGCAUGCAUAUGUAUCUCAUGGAGCUGCACAUUUUGAGUGGUGAAAGGUCAAGGUCAUCCUUCAAGGUCAAAGGUCAAAUAUAUGGGUCAAAAUCGCUCAUUUAAUGUACACUUUUGCAAUAUUUCAAUAUUUAAGAUAGCAACUUGAUAUUUGGCAUGCUCAUGGAGCUGCACAUUUUGAGUGGUGAAAGGUCAAGGUCAAGGUCAUCCUUCAAGGUCAAAGGUCAAAUAUAUGGGUCAAAAUCGCUCAUUUAAUGUACACUUUUGCAAUAUUUCAAUAUUCAAGAUAGCAACUUGAUAUUUGGCAUGCAUGUGUAUCUCAUGGAGCUGCACAUUUUGAGUGGUGAAAGGUCAAGGUCAUCCUUCAAGGUCAAAUAUAUGGGUCAAAAUUGCUCAUGUAAUGUCACUUCUGCAAUAUUGAAGCUAGCAAUUUUAUAUUUGACAUGCAUGUGUAUCUCAUGGAGCUGCACAUUUUGAGUGGUGAAGGGUCAAGGUCAUCCUCCAAGGUCAAACGUCAUAUACGGGGACAUAGUGUUUCACAAACACAUCUUGUUAUCUGUGUUAUUUAUUUUAUUGGAAUGUAAUGUUUCAUAAAAUUUGGAUUCAUCUAUAUUCAGGCCGUAAACGUUUAUUAAUGUUAAUUGUGUUUCGUGUAUUAUUAUCCCCCGCCAGAGGCGGAGGGAUAUUGUUUUGGCGUUGUCCGUCCGUCCAGCUGUCCGUCCGGCCGGCACUUUUGUGUCCGGGGCCAUAUCUUGGAAGUGCUUUGGCGGAUUUCAUUGAAACUUGGUAUGUGUAUAUAUAUGCAUAACAGGAUGAUGCACGCCAAAUGGCAUUGUAUACCAUCUAUCUGUUAAAAACAGAGUUAUGGCCCUUUGUAUCUUGAAAAAAUGCUUUUUACUAUAGGUACUUUUGUGUCCGGAGCCAUAUCUUGGAAGUGCUUUGGCGGUUUUCAUUGAAACUUGGUAAGAGUAUAUAUAUGGAUAAGAGGAUGAUGCACGCCAAAUGGCAUUGUACACCAUCUGUUAAUAACGGAGUUAUGGCCCUUCGUAUCUUGAAAAAAUGCAUUUGUUUGCGUGUCGGCAGCCAUAUCUUGGAAGUGCUUUGGCGGAUUUCAUUGAAACUUGGAAUGAGUAUAUAUAUUGAUAAGAUAAUAAUGCACGCCAAAUGGCAUUGUACAUUAUCUGUUAAUAAUGGAGUUAUGGCCCUUUGUAUCUUGAAAAAAAUGCUUUUUUGAGUGUCAAAUAUAACACUUUUGUGUCCAGCAGCAUAUUGGCGGGGGAUAUCAAUUCAAUGAAUUUGCUUGUUAUAUCUAUACUUGCUUGUCUGCCAAUCAUUAUUUCUUUCAAGUUAUCCACUGUUAUUCCUGUAUUACUUUUGAUCAGUAAAGUGAUGCCUUGUUUAUUUGUAUGUUGUCCGCUAAGAUAAAUAUCUCCGUCCCAUGCACUUUUCAAUGUUUGUGCGAAGGUACGUGUGAUGUGAUUUUCCUGUAAAAGACUUUUUUUCGUCUAACCAUUUGAAAAUUUAAGUGUGUUUGUCUUUGUUAUUUAGCCCUUUUACAUUUAGAGUACAUAUGUUAAUAUUCAUACAAAAGGAGGAGAAAUACAUGCCACUUUUCUUGUUUCUAACAUUUUAAAAUCAUUUUAUAGAGCUAGAUUAUUUGUUAAUACUAAAUUAUGCAAAAUUAUAUUACGCUUUGACGUUAAAAACAAUAACCUUCCAUGUCCUACAGGUUGUUGAUACAUUCUGUGCAUUAAAUUGAUCUACGUACUUGUUCAUUUAUUACAAUGGUAUUGGUAACUAUACCCUGCCUUCAUUUAAAUUGAUCUCGAUACCAUUUUUUAAACAUUUCAUUAUCAUUAACACUUUGCUUUCCGCGUGGUAAGACCUCCAUUGUUAAAUGAAUGAAUAAUUUAGUGAAUUAGUUAAAUGUGUUUAUAUAUCGUUCCAAAUUAUUUUUAUAACACUUGUUAGUGAUGCUUUCAGAUCCCGAACUUUUGUUUUUUUGCAUUUCUUGAAGAGCUAGUCCACAUUCAUAUUCAGUUAGUAAUCCGUCACAUACUUCUUUUUCCUCUUAAUUUAAAGCAUGAUGUGUUUUUUUUUACAGAGGGUGUUAUUUUCGACAUUCUUUCGUUUAUAGAGUGUUUCAAAAUAUAGGCUUGUUCUAUUAUUUGCACAAUAUUCAUAUUCAGUUUGUAAUCCUUCACAUACUUGUUAUUCCUCUUCCUUUAAAGCAUGAUGUGUUAUUUUACAGAGGUUGUUAUUUUCGACAUUCUUUCGUUUAUAGUGUUUCGAAAAAUAGGCUUCUUCUAUUAUUUGACUUUUAUUUGUUAUGUCUUUGCCAUUAACCACUAGUCUAAGUAUAGUUUUGUGUUUGCUUCUACGUAUAAAAUGUUUGCACAGUAUUUUGUAUUGUUUUCAUUGUGUUCAACAUGCUGUGCCCGUGCUCGAAGUAUUAUGCCAUUGAGGUGUGUGUGAUAAAUUCUUUCUAUUAUAAUUUUUUUUUGUAAGAAUUUCCUUCUUCAAUGGAGGUGGUAUAAUUUGUGUUUCUUUUAUGCAUCUGUUUUUCAAGUGCUUCAAUGACUUUUAUGGCUUCAUUUUCAAGUUAGUGUUGUUUUUUUUUAAGCUUACCUGAGCACAACGUGCUCAUGGUGAGCUUUUGUGAUCGCCUUUUGUGCGUCGUCUGUCGUGCAGCGUCAACAUUUACCUUGUUAACACUAGAGGUCACAUUUAUUGUCCAAUCUUCAUGAAACUUGGUCCGAACAUGUGUCCCAUUAAUAUCUUGGACGAGUUCGAAAAUGCUUCUUGUUGUUGAAAAAACUGGGUGCCAGGGGGCGUGGCAGUUUUCCUAAUAUGGCUAUUGUAAAACCUUGUUAAGUCUCUAGAAGAUACAUUGUUUGUCCAAUCAUCGUGAAACUUGGUCGGAACAUGUGUCCCAAUAAAAUCUUUGACAAGUUCAAAAAUGGUUCCGGUUGGAAGAAAAACAUGGCCGCCAGGGGGCGGGGCAGUUUUCCUAUUAUGGCUAUAGUAAAACUUGUUCACACUGUAGAAGUCAAAUUUAUUGUCAAAUCUUCAUGAAACUUAGUCAGAACAUUUGUUCUAAUGAUAUCUUGGACGAGUUCGAAUAUGGUUCCCGUUGGUUGAAAAACAUGGCUGCCAGGUGGCGUGGCAGUUUUUCCUUAAAUGGCUACAGUAAAACCUUGUUAACACUCUAGAAGUCACAUUUUUAGUCCGUCAGAGCAUGUUUCCCAAUAAAAUCUUAAACGAGUUCAAAAAUGGUUCCAGUUGAAUGAAAAACAUGGCCGCCAGUGGUCGUGGCAGUUUUCCUUAUAUAGCUUUAGUGUAUAGUAAAACCUUUUAAACACUCUAGAAGUCACAUUUAUUGUCCAAUCUUCAUGAAACUUAGUCAGAACAUUUCUUCAGACCAUAUCUCGGAUGAGUUUGAAAAUGGUUCUGGUCUGUUGAAAAACAUGGCUGCCAGGGGGCGGGCCAGUUUUCCUUACAUGGCUGUAGUAAAACCUUGUUAUAACACUAGAAGUCACAUUUGUGGUCCAAUGCCUAUGAAACUUGGUCAGAAUAUGUGUACUAAUGAUAUCUUGGCUCAGAUCGAAAAUGGUUGAGGUCCGUUUAAAAACAUGGCCGCAAGGGGGCGUGGCAUUUUUCCUUAUAUGGCUAUUUAGUAAUGUUAACACUAGAAGUCACAAUAAUUAUCCAAUCUUUAUGAAACUUGAUCAGAACAUUUGUUCUAACAAUAGCUCAGCUGAGUUUGAAAAUGGUUAUGAUUCGUUGAAAAAUAUUGCCGCCCGGGGGGGGGGCAGUUGUCUUUAUAUGGCUUUAGUGAAAACUUGUUGACGCUAUAUUAGCCUCAUUUAUUGGCCAAUCUACAUGAAACUUGGUCAAAACAUUAUUUUGUCCCAAUGAAAUCUUAGCGAAGAUUGAAACUGGGUCAUAUUAGCUUAAAAACUAGAUCACUAGGUCAAAAUGUUGAAAGUCACUUUUUUGGUCUAAUCUUCAUGAAUCAGCUUGCAUUUGUCCAGAAUAGUCUAGUUCCUUUUGCUCUCAGGUGAGCGCCUUAGGGCCUAACGGCCCUCUUGUUUUAAAUGACGUGCAUCUUAUUGUUGUGUUAAGUAUCUUGCCUUUAAUUAUUUCCCAUAAGGUGUUUGGAUUUGCAUCUUUGUUAUCUUAAACUGUAUUGGUUAUUACCUGUUAUAUUUGUGUUUGAUAUUGUGUAUCUUUUCAGAAGCUAUUAUUUACUUUUAAAGUACCUUGGGCCUCUUUCAGGUUGUAGUUCAUGCAGUAAAAGUUCAACUAUCGAGUGAUCAGUCAUAAAUCCUGGUUUUAUGUUGCAUGUGUCGAUAAUGUUGCAAAUAGACACGCAUAUUUAAAAAAAUCUUAUCUCCAAAAUAUUGCUGGUUUUGUGUUUGAGUGCCAGGUGAAUUUUCUUUCAUUAUGAUUAACUGUAUGCCAUAUGUCUAUCAAAUUGUAGUUUUCAAUUAUGUUAUUCAAAAUGUUCCUUUUUUUGGAGUGAGUAUAAAGAUUUCCAUUUCUUUUAUCUCUAAUAAUGGGUUAAGAACAAUAUUGAAAUCCUCUCCGACUAUAAUGUUCUUAUCUUGGUUAUUUAUUAUAACAUUUGGAUUCAUCUAUGUUCGGACCGUAAACGUUCAUUAAUGUUAAUUGUGUUUCGUGUAUUUUUAUAUCUAUACUUGCUUGUCUGCCAAUCAUUAUUUCGUUCAAGUAAUCCACUGUUAUUCCUGUAUGACUUUUACUCAGACAAAUGAUGCCUUGUUUAUUUGUAUGUUGUCCGCUAAGAUAAAUAUCUCCGUCCCAACCACUUUUCAAUGUUUUUGCUAAGGUAUGUUUUAGGUGACUUUCCUGUAUAAAAAUGACAUAUAUUACUUUUUUUUUGUCUAACCAUUUGAAACUUUUAGUGCAUUUGUCUUUGUUAUUUAGCCCUUGUACAUUUACAGUACAUAUGUUAAUACUCGCACAAAAGGACGAGAAUUGCAUGAUACCAUUCUUGUUUCAAACAUUUUAAAAUCAUUUUGUAGAGCUAGAUUAUUAGUUAAUAGUUAAUUAUGUCAAGUUAUAUUAAGCUUUGAUGUUAAAAACAAUAACCUUCCAUGUUCUACAGGUUGUUGAUACAUUGUGUUCAUUAAA